GAACCUGAAAGCUGCAGAAUGAGAAAUAAUGCUCCUCUAAAGACUGCUUCUUUCUGCAGAAAUCUCUGCAAGAACUGGUUACAGAAGUGCAUCUGUCUGUCCUGUCCAUUAAUUAAUGCAAGGUGUUCUUAUACGUGGCACCCAGUGGAGUCCCUUGGUUGGCUUCCAAACCAAACACAGCAGCGAUAGCAUCCAGUUAUUUUCCAUUGGCAGCUGGAUGGGAGGAAGGUCUGUGGACAUGGAGAAGUCGUCGUUUCACAACAGGCUCAGCUUCUCCUUUUCUUGGAUCCACGCCUGUCUCCUCCCACAGAACGAGAGAGAGAGAGAGAGAAAAAAAGGUCACGUAUGUUUGGAAAAAUAUGUAGGUCAGUGGAACAUUCCCUGCACUUGUGCAAACGGAGCCGGGGCGGGAGAGCUCCUCCGCAGCCCUCUCGCUGCCCACCUCCCGGCCCGACCCUCCCCGAAGCCCGGGCGCUCGGCGGCGGGGAGGGGGCAGCCAGGAGCCGGGGUCCCUCUCCCCUUCCCUGACCCGUUUCGCGCGCCCAGCCGGGCUCUCGGCCGCGGGCUCCGAGCUCCGGGGAAGGCGGGCGGGCGGCGGAGGAAGGCGGCUCGGGCGAUCGGCCGCCUCCAACCUCCGGGCCCGCGGCCGCCCAUGGGCGCG
rnacentral:lncRNA from 1 species